CAGAGGGUAUGAACAUUCCCCCCCCCUGGAAAUUUCAGUCUGCCUCUCAGGGAACAGAGGCAACUUCAGAAAAAGAAACCAAGAGCUUGGUUGAAAGCAAGCCCUUACCGUGAGUCAGAACCAGUCACAGAAACUGCAGGUAAACUGUAAGAUUUUGAAAUUAGGAGAAGUGUCGAGAGGGAGGAAUUGUUCUGUGCUGAUGUUGAAACUGUGGGCAACAUCUAGCAAACUCUGGCAAAUCACCAACUGUGUCACCAGAUUGUUACCGGACAGGAAAACGUGGGAGCUUCCAAAUCACCUUCUCCUCUUGUCCUCUGAGCCAGGGAAGCCAACACUCUUCACAGAAAGGUACCCUUUCUUCUGUGAACAGGACAUCAAUUUCUGUUAACAUGACACAACCGAAGAGCACAAAUGGGUUGAGCAUCUGACUUCAGCUCAGGUCAUGAUCUCUCUGUUCCUGAGUUCCAGCCCUGCUUUGAACUCACUGCUGCUGUCAGUCCAGGGCCAACUUGGGAUCCUCUGUCUCCCUCUCUCUCUGUUCCUUCCCCACACUCAAAAAUAAAUAAACCUUUAAAAAAU